rnacentral:lncRNA from 1 species
CAAGAGCACCCUUUUGGUUUGCAAGAUAUUCUAGUUUCUCCAGGACUUCUUUCAUCUCUGAUUCAAUUUUCUUGUUAAAUGAAGUGAAAGUAGAGUUGAAGAAAUUUGAUACCUUGUAAGUAAAGGUUUGAGGUUCGUAUUGAGCUUGGACUUGGCAUCUGGUGAGUUCAUAGUCUAUUUCACCCAACAGAUCCUCUGCAUCAAAGACAGCCUCUUUGACAGCAACAAGCCAUGCUUUGACGUGUGGAUCUGUGAACUGCUUUAGUUCAGCAUCAUCAGCUAGAGCGUUGAUGGAGUGCAGCAUGAUGUUCAAAUUACCGAGGAGCUUCUCAUCAAGUUUUCUUCCACGAAAGAAGUCCAGAAGUUGAGCAGAAGCGAGCUUGUCGAAUGAAACCUGAAGAAAGGCCGAAAGAAGAGCACCACCAACAAGUUCUGCUGCCAUGGUAGGAGUUGGGAAUGGAGUGAAUGGAAGUGUGUGAUUUGAAAUGGAUGAAGUGCAUAGAUUGCUAUAGUGAUGAAAUGAGUGGUUAGCUAUUUUACGAAGAAGAAUGAGUCACUUUAAGGAGAGUGGAACAUCUUUUUCUUUGAUGGCUACUCAACCAAUAACUUUUAAGUCUUUUUCCGAUAACGAACGCAAACUUUGUCAGCUUUGUUCCGCAAUAUAAAAUGGGAGCUGUUUGAUAUUCAUUUAACAGUUGUGGUGAAAGUUUGAGAUCCUGAUAUGGAGAGAGUGGGCUGUGGGCCCAAGUUAAGCAAUAACUAUUGAGUCUUUCUGAUAAGAAAAGUGUUCACAGUUGUAAUCCAUUAAUGGAUGUGUGACAAUAAAUAAUAUUCUGACUUGAAAAUAUAAAAAGCAAUAUCUUUUCUACAACCUUUCUUUAUUCACUUAAUUUAGUUUAAUAGUGAUUUUUAUCUCUUUAUUUAUAAUUUAUAAUUCAAUUUUAUUAUUACUAGACAUUUAUGACUUUUUUUUAAUCAGAAAAGGCCCUUUAAUGACUUUAAUGGCUUACAGAUCAAUACAAAUUCGGUAUUAAAUCUGGUGUUCUUAUAGUUGGAAGACUAUAUUUACCUUCCCUUUGGAAUUUUUUUCAUCUCUGAAGAUCCUACAAAUUACAGGGCUUUUGAUGGAAUAGUGAGCAUUGGUAAUGAAUUUUUUUAAGUUAUAGAAUUUUAUAGCCUCAGACUAAUACUAAUAUUGAACUAUUAUUAUAGUGUUGUAGUUGACAUUAAUAUCAUGAACUUCACUCACACACACAAGUAUAUUGUAAAACAUCUAUUGCUUCUUCCAUUAACAAAUACAAGGACCAUUUUAGGUGCAACAAAUACUCAAGCUUUACGCAGCUAAUCUACAUCGAGUGACUGCUACACAAAUUCUCCUCUCCUAAUUUCAUAAACAAAUGGAAAUCCAAGGAGGAAAAGAAAAAAAAUUAAAAGUUAUUUGCAAUGCUCACAACUUCAAUGCCACCUCCCAACUCAGGAAGAAAUCAAAUACAAUUCCAAGGUCUAAGAAUGUAUGUUUAGAAGCAUUUACAUUUCACAACUUCCUUUGCUUCAAUUUUUCUCUGAGGUGUAUUAGUUUUCCCUGGACCUGUUUAGGUAACUCAUCAUCUGAUGAUAACCCAAUUUCAAUCCCUUCUACUUGUUCUCUCUGUAUAAUAUCAUGGUACAUUGGUAGAAACCCUCUUUGGAAAGACCUAUAGGAGAAAUAGGGUAGCAGCACACACAAGAACAAAAGGGUUACUAGCCAAUACAUUACAAGAAAAUCACCAAAUAGAAACCAAUUUUUAGAAACCAAAAUAAUUAGUUGCAAUAAUAACUAAAUUAGACACCAUUUUAGAAACUAAAACAAAAAUUGGUUUCGAAAUUAGUUUAUAUUAUUUUCUAUUAUUGUUAAAUAGUUUCUAAAUUUGUAUCUAAUUAGCAACCAAUGUUUUAUCUACCAAUUAUUUAGUUUCAGUUUCGGACAUUUAAACACAUAAAGCUCUUGAAGACGUGGAAAAGAAGUAGUUUUACACUCCCAUUCUUCCCAUUCCUUCAUAUCGUAGAAUGCCAGUCUCUCUAAGGAUGCAAAGGAGGAGCAAUGCUCACUAUUCCAUCAAGCCGUCUAAUCUCAAGGGUCUUCAGUGAUGACAAAAGUCCAAGGGGAGGUAAACAUAGAGAGGCAAACAUAGACAGUAUUUACAGUGCUGCAACACUAAGCACACCAGAUUUGAUAACGAAUUAUCAAUACCCAACUUGGAAAUUUUGUACCACUGUAGUUCGUGAUUGACAAACUCUCCAACUGAUUGGAAGGUUGUAGAUUCUGAAGUACUUCCUUUUCUUUCCUUGGAUCAUCAGCGAUGUGGUCCGACUUCCAUUCUAAUUCUAGGUCUACAAGGUGUCUAUCUUUCAUAUUUGCUUCUAAUGCAUCCAAAGGAUUGGAAAUAUUCUGCACUUCUUUGAUUGAUAGCUUUCUUCCAUAAAGAUUGAGUCCUCCUAAUGCACCCAGUUGCUUAGUAAUUAGCUCACUAUUUCUAUCCACUAAAAUCGGAUUUAGUACUUGAAGAUUCUUCAAUUCUCCAAAAUGCAUUGGCAUCUUUGACACUCUUGUACCUUUAAAUUCUAGGCAACGCAAUUUGGUAAGUUUAUGCAAAUUUAUGGGCAAUUCCUCCAACUCGUAACAAUUGUUCAACUUCAGAAUUAGUAAGUUAUAAAGCAAACAUAUCGAGUCAGGUAGCUUUUUUAUCUUAGUACACCACGAAAGAUCACCUACAGAAUCUGGGACCUCUCUAAGGUAAAAACAACCACGGAAAGAUAACACGCGUAGAAAAGAUAACACGCGUAUAAACUUAAUUUUGGAAAACAAAUCAUGUAUCGAAAUCUUGAAAUGCCACCAAGCUCUCGUUUUUGAGAUAGAAAGAAAUGAACGAAGUCUUUUAGCAUCAGUCAAACUCUCAAAACCAUCAAAACUUUUGACGUCACUGAAUUCAAAUGAAAAAUGACGGGUUGUUUUCGGUAUACAUCGGCCUUUAUCAAAUUUCAACCUGAAACAGAAAUCCACACAUACAUAUUUUGCCAAAUCAUUCAGAAGGUCAUGCAUGACGAAACAUCUCCCACCACCUGAUUGUUGAAAGAAAGACCUUGACAGUAGAUCAUUGAAGUACUCUUCACCAACUUCUUCUGGAUGUCUAAUAUGUUGUGGACUUUGUAGAAAAUUUUGGGCCAUCCACACCAAAAUUAACUCCGCCUUCACAAACAGAUAAUCUUUGGGGAAUAAGGCACAAUAAGUAAAGCACCUUUUAAGAUGAGAAGGAAGAUAGCGAUAGCUCAAAAAUAACGCAGGGAUAAUUUCACUGUGUUCUUUUGGUAACUCCCAUAUGUCACUUUCCAAUAUGUUCUUCCAAUCUGAAAUGGAUGACUUUGUGCGUAAAGACAUCCAAUUGUUUUCAAAGCUAGAGGUAAUCCCUUGCACUUCUCAACUAUCCUUCUACCAACCUUCAUUAACUCAUCAUUCAAUUCAAGAUCACCAUCUUUUAAUGCAUGAUUUUCAAAAACUUUCCAGCAUUCAUCCUCUCCUAAUUGCUUUAGAAGAUGCACUUCAGACCUCAUGCUAGAAGCAACUUUCUCACCACGAGUUGUGACAAGAAUUCUACUUCCUGGAGCUCCACAACUAAGAGGAGUUCGCACAACUUCCCAUUCUGCUGGUCUUUCGUUCCAAACAUCAUCCAAAACAAGAAGAAAUUUCUUUCCUGACAAUUUUUCUUUCAGUUUUUUGUGAACCAUUUCUAGGUUCCCCCUGUCAUCUUUUUGAUUUGUGAUUGCCUCAAGAAUUGUUCUUGUCACGGUCAAAACAUGAAAAUGAUCAGAAACACAGACCCAUGCUUUGAUAUCAAAUUUUGCAUCCUCGAUCUUUGGGUCACUGUACACAUGUUGGGCGAGUGUAGUCUUACCCAAGCCACCCAUGCCCACAAUGGAAAGUAUUGAUGGGUGGUUAGGAUUGUCGAUUUCAGAUGUGAGCCAAUUAAUGAUUAUAUCUUUGUCAGCAUCUCUGCCGUAAAUAACACUUUCAACCACCAAAGAAGAUGAUGGCAAUUGAAGCGUUACUACCUGAUCCAUCAUCACCAGAAUAAGUACCCUCGUUCAAACGAAGAGCAUCCUUUUGUUUUGCAAGAUAUUCUAGUUUCUCCAUGACUUCUUUCAUCUUUGAUUCAAUUUUCUUGUUAAAUGAAGCGAAAGUAGAGUUGAAGAAAUUUGAUACCUUGUAAUUAAAGGUUUGAGAUUGGGAUUGAGCGUGGACUUGGCAUCUGGUGAAUUCAUAGUCUAUUUCACCCAACAGAUCCUCUGCAUCAAAGACAGCCUCUUUGACAGCAAGAAGCCAUGCUUUGACGUCUGGAUUUGUGAACUGCUUUAGUUCAGCAUCAUCAGCGAGAGCAUUGAUGGAAUGCAGCAUGAUGUUCAAAUUGGGGAGCAGUUUCUCAUCAAGUUUUCUUCCACGAAAGAAGUCUAGAAGUUGAGGAGAAGCGAGCCUGUGGAAUACAACCUGAAGAAAGGCGGAAAGAAGAGCACCACCAACAAGUUCAGCUGCCAUGGUAGGAAGGAGUUGGAAAUGAAGUGAAAUGGAUUGAGUGCAGGAAUGAAUGGUAUAGUGAUGAAUGAAAAGAGUAGUUAGAAAGGAUGACUUCACUUUAGAACAUGUUGUUCUUUUAUGGCAACUCAACCAAUAUAAAAUGUGAGCUGUUGGAUAUUCAUUCAACGGUUGUGAUGAAUGAAAGUAGGGCGGGAAGAGGAACGAACAAUGCAAUAAUGAUAAUAUCUGACUCGAAAUAAUAUCUUUUAUGUAACAAUUAAGCAGUAAUUGUUAACUGUUUCUGAUGUACUAAUUGGCAUCCUUUCGUUAUUCACUUAAUUUCGUUUAUGUCUUUCUUUUCUCUGUAUUUAUAAUUUUUUUAAUUUGGUUCAAUAGUAAUUUUUAUCUCUUUAUUUAUACUUUUAUUAUUUUUGAAAGGUCUCAAAUUAGUUUUACUUUUAUUUAAAAUUAGUCAGAAAAGAUAUUUUAAUAUUGUUUCAUUGACUAACUUUAAGUGGGACUUAACAUUGAUUUGGUAUUAUUGUAGUUUGUUGUUCUAUGUAUAAUAGUGUGCUUAAAAUACUAUGCAAACAAGACUAAUAGAAGUAUCACUCUUGACCACCCUCUUUUUUAGGUUUUUUUCCUUUAAUUCUUCUAAUUACAGAAUUUUAUAGCCUCCGACCCUGCAGUUAUAUUACAUUGAAGACAGAAAAUAAUUAUCUCUUUAAGCAUCAUCAACUUUAAGUCCUUUUGAAUAACAUGCUUUUGAAUAAUUAUCUCUGAAGGAAGGAGCAAAAAUGUCCUAGCUCAAUCUAGUGCUCAAGCUAAAAAAAUCUAUAAAUAUGAGACUUAUGAAUGAAUAGGGAGAUAUAUAAUUUUUAGUUUAAUAGUUUUGUUCUAUUUUCUUUCUUUCUAUUUGUAAAAGUAGUAUAUUAAGUGGAGACUUAUGAGUGUGUUGUACUACCUCCAGAUAUAAAAGGGAUGGUGUAAAACAAAGUGUGGAAAAAAGGUAAUUGAAAAUUAUAGGAUUAGUGUCUGAAACAAAGAAGAUUGUAAUCGAAAAGAUAGAGAGAUAUUGUGCAGAAUUAGCAGGUGUUGAAGUUGCAGACAAAGGAAAAUAAAAGAGUGUGAGAGUGGAGAGGUGACAGAUAGGUGAGACUCAGAUAUUGCAGAUAAUCCUUCACUCAUCAGUAUAUAGACUCAUGAGAUCAUUCAAUUCGUGCAAUGAUAUGCCAUAGAUAAAAUCAGUGUUUUUCAACUUAGAAUCUCUUAACCAUUAUGUUGAAAAGUUCCAAUAAAUGAGUACAAAUUUUCAUUAGGAUCCUCACAUUUAACCAUAGCCCUGAACUUUUGGAGAGAUUUUUCAUCAUGAAGAUGAGUUGUCACCUCCAAAGCAUGCUUUAAUUUCAGAUUAGUUUCUCCGUCAAGAUUCAUAGUCUCGACAUAAUUUUAUUUUAUUGUUUUGAAAGAUCUCAAAUUGGUUUUACUUUCAUUUAAAAAUUGACACAAUCUUUUUUUUUCUAAUAUUGUUUCAUUGACUAACUCUACAGUGGGACUUAAUACCGAUUUAGUAUUAUGUUUUCUGGUUGGUAGUAAUUAGGUAUUAAUUUGGCCAUAAAAUAUUUUGUAUUUGACAUAUGUAUUCAUGUGGAGGUUGAUAAUUUUUCAACCCAAGCUUGGAAACCAUCUACCGAAUAUGGAUUGAUCAAGGACCUUGGUGACAAUGUCAACAUGUUGCUCAGAACUCUUGAAAGGGAGAAGAUGAAAUAAUUCAGAUUGUAGUUUAUCUCUAAUGACGUGACACUCUAUUUCGAUAUGUUUAAUGUGUUUGAGAAAAAUAAGAUUUGAAGCAAUGUGUCGGACAACUUGAUUAUCGCAGAACAGAUGGGCAUUUUGUUGAAUAUUGAUCUGAAGAUCUUGCAGAAGAAAAAUGAGCUAUUGGAUUUCACUAUGCAGUGGUAGCAAGAGCUCGAUAUUCAGUUUCGGACGAAGAACGCAAAAUAGUACUUUGUUUUUUUUCCACAAAAUCAAGUAUUCUAGCUCUAGAAACGGAAAGAGCAAAAACAGAGAAAAGAUGAACAAUUUUAGGAGUUUUUUUUUGUAUUUCUAAUUUUAAUAUAUUAUUUAAAUAAAAAUAAUAAUUUUCUUAUCAGUUAGAUAUAAAAUGUUGCUUUUAAAAUGAAAAUAAUGUUAAUAUUUGAAUCUCAUGAUAGAAAUUUUGUAUUUGGUUUAUAUGUAAGAAAGUUAUGCUAUAUAUAAAGUGUAUGAUUAAAAAAUUAAUGAAACUCUUCCAUACGAUAGAUUUCUUCUUGUACAAAUAUAUUUUGUACUGUGCAUUCACAAUCACAUGCAUUUAGCAAAGUAAGAGGGAGUGAAAGAAAAUCUUUAUUGGUAAAAGACUCUAAAUCCACUCUUUGAAUAUACAAGAUUUGUAGAGAGGUGUUGGCUCCCAAUAAUCACUUUUUAUCUCCAACUAUACAAGACAAUACUUGGUGAACAAGAAAAUUUACACUUCUGUAACUUUGUUGUUGCUGUUCAGAGUCUUUAAACUUUUAGUGCAGAGCAAGAGUUUUUCUGUUGCAGGAGGAUCUCCAGAUUGUAGAGGAGAGGUAAUAAAGUAGUAAAAUAUAAUUAACUCUUAUUUUUGAAUGGGAAGAGAGAUUACAAGGAUGUGAAAUAAAACAGGAGAGACAUGGUUUUUUAUUGGAAGAAUCAGAUUUGUUUGAGAAUGAAAUAAAACAAAAGAAGAGAGCACACUCAGAAACUCUAACACUCACUUUCUCCAACAAUCUUGGCACAAGUUUGCUCUUCAUCCUCUGGAACUCAUAUCUAAGCUUGAGUAGGGAGAUGGAUGGUGUUUGGUACACGCCCUUGUACUUAUUUUCUCUGUAUAAUAAAUAUCAUGGUACACUGCUACAAACCAACUUUGGAAGACCUGUGGAAGAAAUAAGGUAGAAACAAAGCAUAAGCACAUUGUUCCAUUAACUUAAAAUUCAAGAAAGAAUGAAUGUAUCCAUCAUAAAUACAUCAGCAUACAAAUUUUAUAGAGCUUCAUGUUUAGAUUUUUCCCAUUAAAUUGCAGUGCUAAAGCUUCACAAUGUUAAUUGCUUUCGCAGCAAGCUGCAUAUUUAGAUAACAAAUGUGUUGAGCCAUAUUGAUUAAAGGAGAUUCUGCAAUGGGGUUGGACAUUCUGAAUUGAGUAUGGUGAGUGAGUGAUGUAGUUGAUGAAUGAUAAAGCACAUGUCUCUGCCAUUAAUGUAUAUUCUAAUUCCUACUUUCAGAACCUCUACCAUAUCAUGGAAAAUGUUCGACACAGGGAGGUCUGGCUAAAGAAAAUUUCAAGGCUCAUCAGUUUAUUGUAAUUAACACAUGCCUGCUGAGCUAUACAAUCUUAAACAUACGCCUUUUAAAUUCCAAUUACAGGUUCCUUAGAUACAGAGUGUCCCUUAUGCCCACUGCAGUUUCCAUUCAUGUUUCUAAAUUGCUUCUGAAAUUAACAUUUUAUAUAGAGGAAAUAUUCUUUAAUUCAGACAGAAGCAAUUUUAAUAAUUAAUAAAAUUUUGUACCUUCAGACAAAGUUUUGCAGAAACAACUUGAUAGAAGAUGUCUAGAGCGAUUAGUUGAAGUGAAGAAGGCUUUGUGUGGGUUUGGCACUGAAAUGGAUGGAUGUGUGGCCUUGCACAUUGGACCCUUUUUUAAGAAAAUUUCAAGGCUCAUCAGUUUAUUCUAAUUAAUUACCAAAUGAGGUAUAGAAUCUUACACCAUUUGACAUUAAGUCAAGUUGCCUAAGAGAUAUAUAAAUCAUACUCCAAGAAUUGAUACCAGUGAUAUGGAACUUUUCCCCACAUCCCAUCAAAGCCUGAUAGCAUGUCACCUAUUCCACAGCACCAGAACCAAACUCACUCUAUAUCUAUAAAACAAAAAGCUGAAUUUCAGUGUUGGAAUAUUUGUUAAUUAUCUGACAAAGACUACAAUCAUAUUGCCAAAGUAUCGUAUAAAAGAUGCUUUAAAUUAGUAAAUAAAGUUAAGAUAUUUCUAAUCCCAGGUAUUUAUAUUAUUUAGUUGAAGUCAUGCAUUAAAUGAACUAACUAGCAGUGUAUGAAUCAAAUAAUUUAGAAAAUAUCAAGUUGAGUUUUAUCUUACUGAGGGCUAAAUAUGAUUUUUUUUUCUAAUGGUAGGAAUUGAACACAAGUAGCAGAAGGUUUUCAAUAACUCACACUACUGAACCAAUUGAGUAUAAAGUUGUUUUUCUAAUGGGCAGUAGUGUUACAUUUAUUUGCAAUGCUCACAACUUCAAUGCCACCUCCCAACUCAGGAAGAAAUCAAAUACAAUUCCAAGGUCUAAGAAUGUAUGUUUAGAAGCAUUUACAUUUCACAACUCCCUUUGCUUCAAUCUUUCUCUGAGGUGUAUUAGUUUUCCCUGGACCUGUUUAGGUAACUCAUCAUCUGAUGAUAACCUAAUUUCAAUCCCUUCUACUUGUUCUCUCUGUAUAAUAUCAUGGUACAUUGGUAGAAACCCUCUUUGGAAAGACCUAUAGGAGAAAUAGGGUAGCAGCACACACAAGAACAAAAGGGUUACUAGCCAAUAUAGACCACUGGGAGCACAUGCUUCCACUGGGAGCACAUGCUUCCACUGGGAGCACAUGUAUCCAGAUUUGGUUGGAAUUUAAUUUCAUCAGAACAAUGAAAUAAUUUUGCACGAAAAUAAGAAUAAAAUAAAAGUAAUUGAUUCAUGAAAAACUUAGUUGAGCCUUCUUUAAUAAAUAUCAUCACAUCAGUUUAAAUAUAACAUGUGCUACUCUCACUACAAAAAAAAAAAUUUAGUGGGGUUAUUUUUUUCCUUUCCGACGGUUUUAACCCCCGUAAAUUGCAUUACUCGCAGUUUACUAUGUCCCUAGAAUAUCCAGCGUCGAUAAUGAAUUAUUGACGAUUUUUACGAAUCCUGAAAAAUAAUUACUUUCUGGUGGUUUUGAAACUCCGUUAUUUCCCGACGGUUUAGAAACUCCCGUAAUUUUCGACGGUUUUGAAACCUCUGUAAUUCCUGGCGAUUUCGAAACCCUCUUAUUUUCCAACUGUUUUGAAACUCCUGUAAUUCCCAGCGGUUUCGAAGCCCUGUUAUUCUCGAUAGUUCCUGGCAAUUUUGAAACCUUCGUUACUUCUAGGAGGUGCACAUAAAAAAAUAGGUGACGAAUAAUAAAAAUGUUGAAUCAAAAUAGUCUAAUGGUCUUCUGAGAUCUUGUGUUCUUCUUCUACCACCUAACAAUAAUACACUACGGUCUUUCAACUCUUUUUAUUUACUUUCCAAUGUUUCGUAAUACUGUAUUAUAAUUUUUUCAUAAUGAAAAUAUAGACACUGAAUUAUUAAUGUAAAAAAAUUGUGUAAUAUAUGAUUAACAUGAUUUCGUAUUAAUACCAAAUAAAAUAUAAGAAAUACAUAUUACUUACUAAUUCAUUAAUCUUAUUCAUUAAGAUUCAUCUAAUAACCGGUAUUAAAAGGUGUUAGAAUAAUAAACAUAAAGGUUUAUUAUUCUUAUUAACAAAUUGUUUUGGAACAACAUCCUAAAGACAAUUUGACUUCACUUUCAUUUUUGAGGUGGAUAGUAAUUAGAUAUGAAAUUUGGAUGAAAUUUUGAUAUGCGAUCUUGGAAGAAUAGUGGUGGUUGUUAGCUACAAUUUAAGAUUAUCUUCUAAGUUAUUGAAUAAUGUUAUCUUUUAACAUUAUUUGAAUAUUGCUGUGGUGUCUUCAAUGUGUAAUAGUGUGAUUAAAAUACUAUAUAUGCAAACAAGUUUUUGUUUGCUUUAGUAAUUAAUUAUAUAGUUUCGUGAUUUUAGGGUAUUUUGUAAUAUUGAUAACUUUGUUUGAGUUUAUUAAAAAAAAUUACUCAUCUUAUAAUGUCUACGUUUUUUUUGUUAAUGAUCCGAUUUGUUUCUUAAUGUAUGUUGUUGGAUUUUAUUUUAUAAUAUUUAUACUUUGAUUAUGAAUUUCCAGGGUAGCUUAAUUAGUUACUGUUUGUAACGUAUGAGGUUUUUUUCUAGAACUUGUGUAUAUAGGGACAGAAUGAAAUAAGAUGGUGGGAUACUUAAAGGUCUUAUAAAGCUGGAUAUUUAUUCUUAAAUAAAUAGGAUAUGUUUUUGGUAGUGGAAAUAUAGUGUUCUAUUUAUGGCGAUAUUAAAGAUAUAAAAAGAUUUUACCAGCACCUUAAAACAUUUUGCAUUUUGACAAAUUUUUGGAAGAAGUUACUAUAAAAAUGUUGAAGAAUAUUUUUAAAAGUUUGGCAUAAUCGCCUUGGUCAUCCUACUAUAAUACUGUGACCACUAGAAUAAUGAAACUGUGCAAAGUUCCAUGUAUUAAAAGCUCUAUUUUUUUUUUAAGAUGAUUGUUUCUAAAUAUCAUCAAUUGCUUUUUCAUAAUUAUGAAAUUAUUUAUUUUUGUCAUUUUGAGUUUGUUUUUGUUGAUAUAUGGAGUUUUUUUUCCAUACAAUUAGUCUAAUGGAUCUCGGUAUUACUCAAUUUUUUUUAAAGUGGUUUAAAUUCAUAUCGUCUAAGUAUUAGGUUCUCUUUGUUUUUUUUGGUUUUAAACUUUUUGCUAAUAACAAACUGAUUACACUUUAAAAAGCUUACAAACAGAUUAUGUUAAAGAAUUUCUUGCUCUUGCAUCAUAACUAAAUAAUAACAGAAUACAUCAUAGGUUAAUCUGCCCUCACAUACAUUAGAAAAAUGAAAGAAAACAUAUACAUAUUAUUGAGAUAGGUUUAGCUUUGCUAUCUAGUGCCUCUCUACCCUUCAAGUUUUCGGCAGUCAAUGGCGGUGGCAGUAAAGUUCAAUGGUGCAAGGUGGUGGUCAAUGGAGAAAAGGGAAGGAAAAAAAGUUUGCAGCAAUUAAAGCUGCAAAAAAAAAAGAAUUGUAACAAUGAAGGCUGUUCAGAAAAAUAAUUGCAGCAAUGAAGGAUGUCCAGAAAAAUAACUUCAACAAUGAAGGAUGCUAAAAAAAAGAUUGCAGAAACAUAGUCUCCAAGAUCAGGAGCUCUGAUACCAAGUUGAAAGAAAUAAAUAAAAUAUAUUUUUUGAGAUAAUUUACAAAUGUGAUUACAGUCUCAAUUUAUAAAAUUACAACCUAAUUAAGGAAACAACUAUUAGGAAAUGAAAGCAAGAAAUAAUAUGUGAUUACAUCUGUACAAAUCAAAUCAAAAUAAAUCACUAACAAAAUUAUCCUAAUAAAUAGAGAAUGAAAUCUACACUUAAUUAGAGAAUAAUUCUCCUGAUUACGCAAUACAGAUGGAAACAAAAGAAAUAAAAAAUAGAAGUUACAUGAAAUGCUCACAAACAACUUGAAUGCUAUUUCCUACCUCACUAAGAAAGCAUGUACAAUUUCAAGUUCUAAGAAUGGAUGCUUAGAAGCAUUUACAUUUCACAACUCCCAUUGCUUCAAUCUCUCUAUCAGAUGUAGUUUUCCCUGGACUUGUUUAGGUAACUCAUCCUCUCAUAAUCCAACUUCAAACCCUUGUACUUGUUUUCUCUUCAUCAUAUCUUGACACAUGGGUAGAACAGACUUUGGAAAGACUUAUAAUAUCACACUCCACACAACACACUGUGACCAUAAGUAUUUCAAAAACAGCCACCUUACUCUCUCUUCUCAAGGCUUGAUUCAAGACAAAAACAGUGGUCAAGAGUAAGAUCUCUAAAGAGGGUCUCUUCUACUCCCUCCAGAUAUAGAAAAGGAUNNNNNNNNNNNNNNNNNNNNNNNNNNNNNNNNNNNNNNNNNNNNNNNNNNNNNNNNNNNNNNNNNNNNNNNNNNNNNNNNNNNNNNNNNNNNNNNNNNNNUGUCUUCCAAUAAAAUCAUUAAUUUAAAAUCAAAACCUAACAAAAGACAAGUCAACACUUCAUCGAUACAUUAGCAUUGGAUUUGAGAUUGGAUUUGAGAUUAAACUUCUGCACUUCACAAUUUUUAGUGUCCACAUCCACUUUCUGAAUAUUCAAGUCACAACCAUCGAUCACUAUUUCACAACUGAGUAAGUCCAAAAGCAGAAGGCAUGUCACCAGAACCAAACUCACUUUAUAUCUAUAAAAGAAAAGGCUGAAUUUCAAUGUUGAAAUAUUUGUUAAUUAUAUGAGAAACACUACAAUCAUAUUGCCAAAGUAUCGUAUAAAAGAUGCUUUAAAUUAGUAAUUAAAAUUAAGAUAUUUCUAAUCCCAGGUAUUUAUAUUAUUUAGUUGAACUCAUGCAUUAAAUGAACUAACUAGCAGUGUAUGAAUGAAAUAAUUUAUAAAAUAUCUCAAGUUGUGUUUUAUCUUACUGAGGGCUAAAUGUGAUUUUCUUUCUAAUGGUAGGAAUUGAACACAAGUAGCAGAAGGUUUUCAAUAACUCACACUACUGAACCAAUUGAGUAUAAAGUUGUUUUUCUAAUGGGCAGUAGUGUUACAUUUAUUUGCUUCUCUUUUUUCAAGAUAUUGAAUCUUAGUACUCUUGAAUACAAACAGAAAACUAUGAGAUCAGUCUCAGCAGGAAAAAGUUGAAAAUAUGAAUUUGAGUCUCAAGAUCAGAAUAUUAAGGAAACUAAAAUUGGACCAUUACAAGGUUGUGUGGCCUUACACAUUAGACACUGUUUUAGAAAUAUUACUGAAAUUUUCUCAGUUUAGGUUCAUUAUGCAUAGCAGUUUGGUUGUCACCAAACAACUCAUAUUCUAAACAAUAUUCAAGCUAUUUCUACUACUAUUUUUUCUGUAAAAGUGAGUCUUGAUUGAACACCAUAAGACUUCUUUAAUGGUUUUAAUGUUUAAAAAUCUUGAUGGAAUAUCACAAGAGCUUUUUAAUAAAGUAAAAAGUGGUUUAAAAAUACUUUUAAAUUCCAAUUACAAGUUCCUUAGAUCCCUUAUGUCCACUGCAGUUUCCAUUCAUCUUUCCUCCACUAAAAACCCAUAACUUCAUUUUGAGGAUCAUUUAGUUCCAGUGAUCUAUUAUUAAGUUUAAGUUCAUUUUUUUGUCAGAAACUGUAGUAACAUGAAAUAAGAACACAGAAUACUCUGUUCGGAAUGGAUGCCAAAUGCCAAACCACCUUCACGAUUUUCGUAGUAUUCUAAAAUUAGGAAAAACAUUCGGUUGGAAUUUAAUUUCAACAGAAAAAUUGAAAUAAAAAAUAAGAGUAAAAUAAAAGUAAUUGAUUCAUGAAAAACGUAGUUGAGUUCAAGUAUAUCAUGUGCUGCUCUUGUUUGAAAAAUGGCAAUUAUAGGGUUACCGUUUGCAACUAAGAAAAUGGUAAUCGAAAAGGUACAAAGAUAUUGUGGAGAAUUCGAACCGGUUGAAGUGCCAGACAAAUUCAAAUAUAAUCAUCGCACAUACAGAUCUUGGAUGUGAGCAAUCUUUUCCCAGUCUUCUCCAUCUGGACUCUGACAACGCUCCUUCAGCAAUGGACAACCAAUGAUUGAGAGAGAAGAGAUGGAUUUGGGGAGACCCUCCGCUGGUAAGCAUUCAAGGCUGGGACAAUCACGAAUUAUGAGAGAGGAGAGGUGGUAGAGACCCUUGUAGUGCAUCUUUUUAAGAUUUCGGCAAUAUUGGAUUCGUAGAAAGGUGAGAGAGCGUGGCAGCAAAACUUCAUCGGGAAAACACUCCACCUCCAAGUGUUCAAUAUUCAAGGUUUGAAGAGAUGUGUUGGGAUCCAAGUUGUCUCUCAAGGAGGCGAUAAGUUUUAAACAUGAAAGACACAUUCUUUUUAUAUUUAAUGGCAAACCUCCAUCUGGGAACAACUCCACUUGUGGACAAUAUUCAAUACAUAGAGACAUGAGAUGAUUAUGAGCGUACUCCUGUGAAAUUCUUCUUAGGUUUUGGCACUUUAUCAGUGUAAGUUCAUGGAGCUUUGGAAAGAAAUCUAGCCGAAAGAUUGAAAGAGAGUCCAUACUGUUUCCGCUAAUUCUGAGCUCAUCACUAACAACUACUUUCGUACCUUUCAGUUUCGGACAUUUAAACACAAGAAGCUGUCGAAGACGUGGAAAAGAAGUAGUUUUACACUCCCAUUCUUCCCAUUCCUUCAUAUUGAGGAACUGCAACAUCUCCAAGGAUGCAAACGAAGAGUUACUCCCAUAAAAUUCAUCACCAACGCUCACUAUUCCAUCAAACCCUGUAAUAUGGAGGGUCUUCAGUGAUGACAAAAGUCCAAGGGGAGGCAAACAUAGGCAAUAUUUACAAUCCUCCAACUUUAAGAACACCAGAUUUGAUAACGAAUUAUCGAAUACCCAACUUGGGAAUUCUGUACCACUGUAGUUCCAGAUUGACAAAUUCUCCAAGUGAUUGGAAGGUUGUAGAUUCUGAAGUACUUCCGUUUCUUUCCUUGGAUCAUCAGGGAUGUGGUUCGACUUCCAAUCUAAUUCUAGCUCCACAAGGUGUUUAUCUUUCACAUUUGCUUCUAAUGCGUCCAAAGGAUUCAAAAUAUUCUGCACGUCAUUGAUUGAUAGCCUUCCAUGAAGAUUGAGUCCUCCCAACCCGCCCAGUUGUUUAGUACUAACCUCACUAUUUCUAUCGACGAUAAACUUAUCCAAUUCUUGAAGAUUCUUCAAUUCUCCAAAAUGCAUUGGCAUCUUUCUCACUUUUGUACCUUCAAAUUCCAGGCAACGCAAUCUGGUAAGUUUAUGCAAAUUUAAGGGAAACUCCUCCAACUUUGAACAAAAUUUCAACUUCAGUAUUAGUAAGUUAUAGAGCAAACAUAUCGAGUCAGGUAGCUUUUGUAUCCCAGUACGCGAAAGAUCUAACGAAUGGAGAUGUUUAAGAUCAUCUACAGAAUCUGGAACCUCUCUAAGGUCUGAACAACCACUGAAAGAUAACACGCGUAUAAACUUAAUCUUGGAAAACAAAUCAUGUAUGGAAAUUUUGAAAUGCCAUUGAGGUUUCCCAAAUUGUUGGAUAGGCAGAAAUGAACGAAGUCUUUUAGCAUCAGCUAAACUCCCUAAACCAUCAAAACUUUUGACAUCAUGGAAUUCAAAUGAAAAAUGACGGGUUGUUUUCGGUAUACAUCGGCCUUUAUCAAAUUUCAACCUUAAACAGAAAUCCCCACAAACAUAUUUUGCCAAAUCAUUCAGAAGGUCAUGCAUGACGAAACACAACCCGGAAUCUGAAUGUUGAAAAAAAGACCUUGACAGAAGAUCAUUGAAGUACUCUUCACCAACUUCUUCUAGAUGUCUCAUCUGUUGCGGACUCUGUAGAAAAUUUUGGGCCAUCCACAUCAAAAUUAACUCCUUCUUCACAAACUCAUAAUCUUUGGGGAAUAAGGCACAAUAAGCAAAGCACCUUUUAAGAUGAGAAGGGAGAUAACGAUAGCUAAAAAAUAACGCAGGAAUAAUUUCACUGUGUUCUUUUGGUAACUCCCAUAUGUCACUUUCCAAUAUGUUCUUCCAAUCUGAAAUGGAUGACUUUGUGCGUAAAAGACAUCCAAUUGUUUUCAGAGCUAGAGGUAAACCCUUGCACUUCUCAAGUAUCCUUCUACCAACCUUCAUUAACUCAUCAUUCAAAUCAAGAUCACCAUCUUCUAAUGCAUGAUUUUCAAAAACUUUCCAGCAUUCAUCCUCUCCUAAUUGCUUUAGAAGAUGCACUUCAGACCUCAUGCUAGAAGCAACUUUCUCACCACGAGUUGUGACAAGAAUUCUACUUCUUGGAGCCCCAUAGCUAAGAGGAGUUCGCACGGCUUCCCAUUCUGCUGGUCUUUCGUUCCAAACAUCAUCCAAAACAAGAAGAAAUUUCUUUCCUGACAAUUUUUCUUUCAGUUUUUUGUGAACCAUUUCUAGGUUCCCACUGUCAUCUUUUUGAUUUGUGAUUGCCUCAAGAAUUGUUCUUGUCACGGUCAAAACAUGAAAAUGAUCAGAAACACAGACCCAUGCUUUGAUAUCAAAUUUUGCAUCUUCCAUCUUUGGGUCAUUGUACACAUGUUGGGCGAGUGUGGUCUUACCCAACCCACCCAUUCCCACAAUAGAAAGUAUUGAUGACUGGUUAGAUUGUCGGUUUCAGAUGUGAGCCAAUUAAUGAUUAUAUCUUUGUCAGCAUCUCUACCGUAAAUAACACUUUCAACCACCAAAGAAGAUGAUGGCAAUUUCUGUGACACUCUACUGCCUGAUCUAUCAUUAUCAUCAGAAUAAGUACCCUUUUUCAAACCAAGAGCAUCCUUUUGGUUUGCAAGAUAUUCUAGUCUCCGCAGGACUUCUUUCAUCUCUGAUUCAAUUUUCUUGUUAAAUGAAGUAGAGUUGAAGAAAUUUGAUACCUUGGAAGUAAAGGUUUGAGGUUGGGAUUGAGCUUGGACUUGGCAUCUGGUGAGUUCAUAGUCUAUUUCACCCAACAGAUCCUCUGCAUCAAAGACAGCCUCUUUGACAGCAACAAGCCAUGCUUUGACGUGUGGAUCUGUGAGCUGCUUUAGUUCAGCA